GCUCAUGUCUUCGAAAUCUUAGUGGAGGUUUUCAGUCAUGAGAGAGGAGGGCAGUGGAAAUGAUGGAAGAGCAUGGCAACAGCCCCAUAUUGUACUCAUGUCUGGGAUAAAGCAGUCAUUGCCCCGAGCGUUGAAUACAGGUUGAGUGGAGUGAGUGGCACUGUCCUGCUGAGUGCUUCAUGGAGCUCUCUUUAUGUCUUGCCCGCUCUCUAUGCACGGGUUAAUCCUGCUUACUAUCAGCACGUCACGUUCACAAAGAGGAUUUCAGAAUUAGUCGGAACAGCUAGAGUGAACGUGCUCUGCAAAGAGAGCAACACAUUCUGCAAAAACCACAAACACGAAGCAACAUUUAUGGAAAUAUUUGGCACAGGCAGCUUAAACUUGCAUUUAGCUCUUCGUGCUGGAAGGGUAUGAUUUUUACAGCUUCUCCAGCUUUGUGACGACCUCACAGAAGGCAUCGGUUGCUUUCACGUCUGCAGCCACAGCCAUGGUGUUAACGGCCCUCAAGCUGUAUUUUGUUGGAACGGCUCUUACUGUCCUUGCUGUCCUUUAUGAAAUAGCGGACUCCUGUGGCGGUCUCAUGUACGCGCAGAACCAUCAUCUGCAGGACGUGGAGCAUCGACAGCGGUCUACGAACAACCAACAAUGACGAAUGUCUGUGACUGAGAACAUGACAUUUUCAUGAUGGCUCAUUGGAAAAUGUCAGAGGUUUUUUUUUUCAUUAGGCACAUUCGCAAAGAAAGGACACGAUGGUGAUGAUGAAUGUGUUUGUUCUUGUUUGGAACCUACUAUCUGAUCCCCCAAAACCUGUAGCAACUAGUCACUGCUGAAUGCUACUUGCACUGAAUGUUUGACGGUUUUUUAUUUUUAAAGAGUUAAAAUGUCGACUGUUCUCUGGAAAGAAGUCCUUGUCAAAACAAUGCCCCUGGACACUUUUUGGGCACUUAUUUUGCAUUAUAUAAAUUCCCAUUUAUUCAGUGGUCCUUCUUGAUAUGAAAUUUGCAUGUAUAAAGUCACUAAUCAAAUCUUUUUUUUUAAGAUAUAAGCUUAUUUUUUUAAAAAGGCUUUAAUUUUUUUCCCCUUUGAAAGAAGUUGUUAGUUAUAGUUUUACUGCGUUAUUGCCUCAUUGAUUUUGCCCUAUUAUAAUAUAUCCAGACUAAGAAAGUUCCAGAUGUACUAAUAAUUCAAUAAGUAUUGAAAACAUUUUGGCAGUCAAACUGACACCUGAGCAGUAUAGCAACAAAAGCUCAAAAGCCAAGCAUGUCCGGACAAGGUGAAAGCUCUCUGAGAAACACGAAGAGGCAGAUUAAAAAAAAGGUUUUGUUCUAUAAUGGAGACAGUUGCUGAAGGAGUUGAAGAGUACAGCUCAUAAAUAUUUUUGACAGUUUUCUGUGUAGGCCUACUUGCUUGUAUUAGGAACCCAUUUUUCUCCAGGGAGCUAAAAAAGAAAAAGUAAAACCAGACAGUGAAUUCAAAGUACUUUCAUCAAAUAGAGGUGUUUUUCCCCCAU